rnacentral:rRNA from 1 species
UACGGGGGGAGCAAGCGUUGUUCGGAAUUAUUGGGCGUAAAGCGCGUGUAGGCGGCUAGGUAAGUCGGGUGUGAAAGCCCUCAGCUCAACUGAGGAAGUGCGCCCGAAACUGCUGUGCUUGAGUGCCGGAGAGGGUGGCGGAAUUCCCCAAGUAGAGGUGAAAUUCGUAGAUAUGGGGAGGAACACCGGUGGCGAAGGCGGCCACCUGGACGGUAACUGACGCUGAGACGCGAAAGCGUGGGGAGCAAACAGG